rnacentral:rRNA from 1 species
CCUACGGGUGGCAGCAGUGAGGAAUAUUGGUCAAUGGACGAGAGUCUGAACCAGCCAAGUAGCGUGAAGGAUGACUGCCCUAUGGGUUGUAAACUUCUUUUAUAUGGGAAUAAAACGUUCCACGUGUGGGAUUUUGUAUGUACCAUAUGAAUAAGGAUAGGCUAACUCCGGGCCAGCAGCCGCGGUAAUACGGAGGGGCCGAGCGUUAUGCGGAUUUAUUGGGUUUAAAGGGAACGUAGGCGGUUUGUUAAGUCAGUUGUGAAAGUUUGCGGCUCAACCGUAAAAUUGCAUUUGAAACUGGCAGUCUUGAGUACAGUAGAGGUGGGCGGAAUUCGUGGUGUAGCGGUGAAAUGCGUAGAUAUCAGGAAGAACACCGAUGGCGAAGGCAGUCCACUGGACUGCAACUGACACUGAGGCUCGAAAGUGUGGGUAGCAAACAGGAUUAGAUACCCUAGUAGUC